rnacentral:rRNA from 1 species
UACGUAGGGGGCAAGCGUUGUCCGGAUUUAUUGGGCGUAAAGAGCGUGUAGGCGGCCAGAUAGGUCCGUUGUGAAAACUCGAGGCUCAACCUCGAGACGCCGAUGGAAACCAUUUGGCUAGAGUCCGGAAGAGGAGAGUGGAAUUCCUGGUGUAGCGGUGAAAUGCGCAGAUAUCAGGAAGAACACCCGUGGCUAAGGCGGCUCUCUAGUACGGUACUGACGCUGAGGUGCGAAAGCGUGGGGAGCAAACAGG